rfam:Syntrophomonas zehnderi OL-4 genome assembly, contig: OL-4DRAFT_scaffold-18
GCCGAUGUGGCUCAGUGGCAGAGCAGCUGAUUCGUAAUCAGCAGGCCGGCGGUUCGAAUCCGCCCAUCGGCU